rnacentral:rRNA from 1 species
CUACGGGGGCUCCAGCAAGGAAUAUUGUGCAAUGGGCGAAAGCCUGACACAGCGACGCCGCGUGGGGGAUGAAGGCCUUCGGGUUGUAAACCCCUUUUCCUAGGGAAGAAUAAUGACGGUACCUGGGGAAUAAGUCUUGGCUAACUACGUGCCAGCAGCCGCGGUAAUACGUAGAAGGCAAGCGUUAUCCGGAUUUAUUGGGCGUAAAGAGGGUGUAGGCGGUUCUUCAAGUCGGAUGUAAGAUCUCCCGGCUUAACUGGGAGGGAUCAUUCGAAACUGUUGGGCUAGAGUGCAGUAGAGGGAGGUGGAAUUCCCGGUGUAGUGGUGAAAUGCGUAGAUAUCGGGAGGAACACCAGUGGCGAAGGCGGCCUCCUGGGCUGUUACUGACGCUGAGGCCCGAAAGCGUGGGGAGCGAACAGGAUUAGAUACCCGGGUAGUC